GGAGCAGGGAGGGCAGUCAUCCUUGCUGGGUGUGCAGGCCGAAUGGGCAGAGGGCAGAGAGGCGGGUGGGACCGGCCGCAGAGGCUCCUUGAAGGGAGCAGGAGCGGACAGGACACAGCUGCAGUGUACCUGGCAUCAGUUUGACCUCCUCCACAGAAUCCCACCCCUUUGUCCAUUUUUUAGGCAUAGCAGGAGUCUUCAUGGUAAAUAUGGACCCAAUGUUGCCACUGCACCACAAAGAAUCCCGAGUCCUCCAUGGCUCCCCAUUGUGCUGAAAGCCCUCCCUGCUCCAUCUUUCAUCCUGUGUGCUGGUCUCAUCUACCACACACCAGUGCUACUCAUUUUCCUACUUCUCAUCUUUACAAACUUGGGGUUCCUGUGCCUAUAAAAGCCUGACCCUCGCCCUGCAAACUCCUGUUCGUAUUUUGAGUCCCAGCCCAGAUGCUCAGGCGGGAUUAGAUCUCUCCAGGGCACCACCUCAGCCACUCAUAGCUUUAUAAGUCCUGAGAGGAGGGUACGGGCAGGGACCUACUUAGUGUAGGGACCAGUUCACAGGAGCUCGGGGAUGUUUGCCGAGUGACUGAAUGAGAGAAAACAGUGGCCCUGGGCAGCUGAAGUAGAGCCUUGCGGUCCUAGAAACAGAUGCGGUACUUGGACACUCUGCCUCCAUCCCCGCUGCCCCUGGGCCUCCUUCCUGGGGUGUGAGCAGCAAUAAGUCGCAAGGGCAGGGGCCGGGAGAGACUGCUCACGCCUCCUGGUCCUCACUUCUGCCCACUCGGCACCUCCUGGGCCCCCAGAGGACUCCGGGAGAAGAGAAAACAGGACAGACCAGCUCAGCCUGGCACUGGUCUCCCCCAUGUCCUCACCUCCCCUCAACACCAGCCCUCCGCUCUCUGUCUCCACUGGGCCUGGGCUGUGAUCCGGAAC
rnacentral:lncRNA from 1 species